UUCAGUUGAUGAGUCUCCCAUUAAUGGGGGACAUGCUGCUGCAGCUGAUGGAAUUGGGCCGAAGAGGCUUUCACAUGCAUGUCAAUGUGACAAGGAUGAUAUGUGCACGCAAGAAUGAUCCAUUUAUGGCCACCUUCAAAAUUCAUGUGAGAUGUCAUAUGCUUUGUUGUUGUUGUUGCUAUUGUUGAAAAGGUAUGGCAUAAGAAGACUAUUAAUAUGGUUUUGAGUGUCAACAGUUAGUCUUUUCUUUCAUUUUGGUGUUGUUUUGUGAACGAUCAGCGCCAAUCAAAGGCCAAGUUCAAAUGGGGCCCCUCUUUUUGUUGUUUGCAUUACCUAAUAAAUAAAAACCCCAAUAGAAAAGCGUCAAUCAUACGCAGCGCUCGAUUACCAAAGCCGUGUCCUCUGCAUAUUCUGUCCCUUUUCUGCCGCUGCUGCUCGUUUUCUCUUCCGCGUCGCUUCUUCGCCUUUUCUAGAUCUCCGGAUUCGCGCCUGAUAUGUCUUCCUCCAAGCCCGCCGGAUCCAUCCAUGACUUCACCGUCAAGGAUGCCAGGGGAAAUGAUGUGGAUCUUAGCAUUUACAAAGGGAAGGUCUUGCUGAUUGUCAAUGUUGCAUCUCAAUGUGGGCUGACUAACUCAAACUACAAGGAACUGACUCAGCUAUAUGAGAAUUACAAGGACAAAGAUUUUGAGAUUCUGGCUUUUCCAUGCAACCAAUUUGCUGGGCAAGAACCAAUGAGGAGAUUGUUGAGUUUGCUUGCACUCGAUUCAAAGCUGAAUAUCCGAUAUUUGACAAGGUCGAUGUGAAUGAUCAAAAUGCUGCACCCAUAUACAAGUUCUUGAAAUCGAGCAAAGGUGACAUUUUGGGGGAUGGCAUCAAGUGGAACUUCACUAAGUUCAUGAUGGACAAGGAUGGUCGUGUUGUAGGUCGCUAUGCCCCAACCACAUCCCCUUUGAGCAUCUGAGAAGGAUAUCAAGAAGCUUUUGAGGCCUUCGUAAAUUACAUAUGCUUGCAGCCUCUGAUCUUGCUUGCUGACUGCUGUAGUACAUAUGACUAUGGCUAAAGUGUCAAUUACUUCAAAGAUAAUAUGUUAAUCACAGAAAGCUUAGGCUAAUUAUAUAUCCGACCACGGGAGAUUUCAAAUAUGUAAUUAAGGAUUCUGGAGACAAGAGAAUGAAAAUUAUAAUUUAUAUA